rnacentral:rRNA from 1 species
GGGCUUGACAUCCCACGAACCUGCCCGAAAAGGUGGGGUGCCCGCAAGGGAGCGUGGAGACAGGUGGUGCAUGGCUGUCGUCAGCUCGUGUCGUGAGAUGUUGGGUUAAGUCCCGCAACGAGCGCAGCCUCACCCCUAGUUGCCACCGGGUUAAGCCGAGCACUCAAGGGGAACUGCCAGCGUCAAGCUGGAGGAAGGCGGGGAUGACGUCAAGUCAUCAUGCCCCUUACGCCCUGGGCUACACACGUGCUACAAUGGCCGGUACAAAGGGACGCGAGACUGCGAAGUGGAGCUAAUCCCAAAAAGCUGGUCUAAGUUCAGAUUGCAGUCUGCAACUCGACCGCAUGAAGGAGGAAUCGCUAGUAAUCGCGCAUCAGCCCGGCGCGGUGAAUACGUUCCCGGGCCUUGUACACACCGCCCGUCACACUACGAAAGCUGUCUGUACUCGAAGUCGCUGAG